CGCUGCUGCCUCCCCAUGUGCUCGGAUACCCAGUUCCCAGUUAGUACUCAUGGCGUUCAUGUCCCCCUUCCGAUCCCGACUAUGCCAUCGCCCCGGAAGUGACGUACGCCGGGUACUUCCCCAAGGACUUGUCCCCGUUGCCAUGGUGAUCCCACAGCAGCCUCCGCUGACUCCAUAUGACCUGCUGAUGCAUAAUACAUAUUCAAUAAUAACAAUGCAAAUCAUUAUACAGUGCAACUAUCAGCUAAUAAUAAUAAAAUACAUAUUCACUAAAACACAUGUGUAAAUAUCCUAAAUACAAGAUCAUACCUUGAUUAGAUAUGAAUAGAUAGCACCAAACCUCUCUGUCGCCAUCUAGUGACUACAAUUCAUUAUCACAUCCUAAAUUAAAAAUUAAAAACUAGUGUUGCUAACCUCCACUGUAAUUAAUAUUCUACAAUUGGUGUUAAUAUCGAACAAUCUCCAUGUGCAAAUCUGUCAAACAUAUAUAGACUAUAUUCUCUCCCACCGAGUCUAUGUUGUUCAUCACUAAACUAUAUCACCCAUCCCUGCUGUCUAAAGCUGUAUUAUGCAACCACAAAAAUAGUUAAAAGAAACAACUGAGAUUUAGGGCUUCAUUCAGCCCAUGUGGGCUAACCGUAUUCAAACGGUAUAUCCAUUUGCAUUCCAGUUGCAACAACUGCUUAUCUCUAUCCCCCCCUCUCAAGUUGGGGGGGAUCUGAUCAAUUAUUCUGUAUCUGAGGUUUGCCAUGGAGUGUUUGGCCCUAAGGAAGUGGCGUGCUACUGUCUGGUCACUCCUCCCUUCGCUGAUUGCUGCUCUUAAUGCUCCUCUAUGUAGGGCCAUUCUUUCUUUGAAUUGCCUCUUGGUUUUCCCAACAUAGUGGAGUCCGCAGGGGCAGGUGAGUAAAUAAAUGACAUAUUUCGAGGUGCAUGUCACAGGAUACCUGAUGUGUAGUGUUUUCCCAGUGUGAGGGUGCGUGAACUUGCUGCCAGCAAUCAUAUAGCUGCAGGUGACGCAACCUGUGCAUUUGUAGCACCCUCCUGGUCUAGUCAAAAAAUGUGUUUUAGGGGGUUCAAGCCCUGUUAUAUCUGUUUUUACCAAAAGAUCUUUUAAAUUAGGGCCUCUCGUGUAACUGGGAAUAAGUUUGGUAUUCUUCAAUAUUGUUAAAUUGGGAUCUUUAGUAAUAAUAGGCCAUAACGCUUUGGCCCUUUUCGUGGUAUAAUUACUUUUUGUAUCAAACUGGUUGACCCAUGGGAGGCUAUCCCUUUGACUUGAAUCAGCCCCUCUGUCCUUCUCCUGUAACAGAACUGCUCUGUCCAUCCCCAUAGCCUUCUGUUUGGCUAUUAAUAAAUCCUUACGUGGAUAACCUCUCUCUACAAAUUUAUUCAACAUGUCAUCCAGCUGUUUAUCCCUCUCUAAUUCAUCGUUGUUAAUUCUACAUACUCGGAUGAAUUGCGAGUAUGGCAAUCCUCUGACAGUAGUUUUGGGAUGGAAGCUAUCGUAUUUAAGUAUCGUAUUCCGAUCAGUCGGUUUGGAGAACAACUUGGUGUACAAUUUCUGAUCUACGCAAGAAAUAUUCACAUCUAGGAAGUUUACCUCCUUUUUGCUCAUGGUGAGGGAUAAUUUGGCUGGACAUGAGGAUUCAUUGUGAUCAGUCUGGGUAUCCGAGCACAUGGGGAGGCAGCAGCGUCGGCUGUAUUACCAUGACAACCUGAUUAGCCCUGGCAUGGUGGCCCGGCGAACGUCACUUCCGUGGCGACGUCACACUCGGGACCAGAAGUGAGACACAGAUGCCGGGAACACGCGCUGGGAGGCUGGAGACCUCCCCAGUGCGCCAGCCGGACGGACCGGAGCCGCGCCAUUUCCUGUGGGCGGAGUGACGUCAGGACCGGGACCCAGGCAGCAUGGCUGGAGGCGGCGGUGCGGACCUCCUCUCUUUCUAAGUGGAUGGCUGAUUGUUUCCUGAGUCAACUGAAAACCAGCCGCUCAGAAAAAAAAAAAAUUGACCUUCCCAAAAUGGCCGCUGCUCCUCCCCCUUCCACCUCCAUGAGGGUCACACAAAAUGGUGGACAGACCAUGCGGCCUCUUGUCACAAAGAAAGUCAUCAUUCAAAACUCCUAAAGUUAUUCUAGGCCUGAGUGUGUAGU